rnacentral:lncRNA from 1 species
AACGGUUGUGUUCAGUUUGUGUUGAGCUCAGGCACAAGCAAGCAUGGCCCAAGCCUCAAGCAGGGCCCAGACUGGCUCCUGAAAUGCAGCUAGAGGCUCUGGUCUGCCAGGCUGCAGAAAGAGGCCCAAAGUGAGUCGCCCAGGCAGGGGCCUGCAGCCCGCCCAGGAGGGUUGGUUAGGGCUUGCUGUUCAGUUUGAGGAGGCUCACUUCCUUCCCCUUUCUGCAGCCUGCUGGGCCCCAGGGAGCUGGUAACCCGGGAACUGAGGCACGGGGGGAGAGGCCUCCGGAGCCUGUUGGGUUGCCAGCCUGGCUGUCAGCUGGCUGGGCCCUCCUCGGGGUGUGAGCAGAGUUUCUGAAAGUCCAGAUCUAAGGAUGACUUAGAUGGGUGGCUCUGGCUCCAGGACCCAAACUGGGCUGCAAUCACAAAGCCAGCCAGACAUGCAGUUGUCUGAAGACUUGAAUGGGGCUGGACUCUCACUGCCAAGAGCAUUCUACUGCAGUGACCAGGGCCCGGGCGUCCACCAGAGCAGAGUGCAGGGAUGGGGGAAUGACACUAUUCCAGGAGAGAGGAUUCUGCUCCAUGAAUGCCUCUGUGGCUCUACUGAUACUUCUCACAAGGACACCAAUCAGUGGAUUCAGGCCCACUGCGACUUGUGUGAUCUCAUUUUCACUUAAUUACCUAUGUCUGCAAAGAUCCUGUUUCCAAAGAAGGCCACAUUCAGAGGUUCCACUUUGGCAUGGAUUUCUGGAGACCUAUUCAACACAUUAGGUUUGUCAGAAUUAAAUGAAGAAUCAUGGAAAGUGGUUCACCUAGUGUACAGCUAUUCACAAAGUUGUUGUCUACGGCCAUACCACCCUGAAAGCACCCAAUCUCAUCUGAUCUCGGAAGGAAUCCAGGGUACUGGAAUCAUUUCAAGCCUGAUGACAUCCCAAGUAAUUCUUUUAAACACUUCUCCAUUGAACAACAACAACAGAUCAAUGUUUAAAGAAAAUGGUUCUUCCUCUUGCUCCCCAAAGUG